rnacentral:rRNA from 1 species
AUGAAGAAGGUUUCAGAUUAUUAUUGCACCCGCACAUUAUUAUACUGGUUAUGGCCUCUGCUAUGGAGCUCUAAAAAUUGUUCUACCUUUGAAGAACUUUCUGCAUGCACAAUUUUGGACGCCAUGACCUUGUGUGGCUUCUCCUACAUAACUAUGGGAUCUGUCUUGGAGUUGUACAUUCUUAUAGCCUUGGAGAGCUUUCUCCUUCUACGAAAAAAGCUAAAAAAAAACAGAAAAAGAAAAAAGAGAAAAAAAAGAAAAAGAGAAAAAAAUAAAAGGAAAAAGGAAAAAAAAGAAAAAAAGGAAAAGAAAGGAAAUGGUUUUAAAAAAGAGAGUAAAGCUUUCCAUCUGUUCAGUGUCCGCACGUGUGGUAGUCUUGUGACUUUAUGUGAGGUGUUUGUGUAG